rnacentral:lncRNA from 1 species
GUCAUGCCCAGCAACCCCCCCCGAUGGCCCACGGAGGCCGAGGCCACGCCACACCCACCCAGGCAGGGCCCAAGGACCGCAGCCCGUCCAAAUCGAAAGGUCAGGGGUCGCGGAGCGUCCAGCAGCAGGAGGAGGAGGUCCGGCCCAGAGCUGCCGCCCCAGCGUCUCCUGCCCGGCUGGAAGACGUUGACUCCGUGGGCCUGCGCCGGAGGAUCCACGAGCUGGAGAAGGAGAAGCUGGAGCUCACAUCCCAACACAACCAGGAGAUCUUGGCGCUGGGCACGCAGGUUGCCAGGUUACGGGCGCAGGUGGAGCGAGGGGAGGCGGUGCGGGCAGACGCUGGAGUACGAACAUCACCGUAGCCAACAGAGGCUCCGCCCUUCAGAGGAGCAAAGCGGACGCCGCCAUCGCCGAGCUGCGGGAGCAGAACGCCGACCAGCAAGGCCUCCUUGCCCGAGCUGCGCCAGAGGACCCAGGACCUGGAGAAGGCCCUGGAGAUCAGCAGGCGGGCCAGAGAAGAGGACGUCCGGGGCCUCCAGGCGGAGCUCGCCGAGAGGGACUGCCUGCUGCUGGCCGCGCAGGAAGAGGCGGAGCUCGCGACCCGGGACGAAGGCAGGCUCCUGGCCACGCUGCAGGUACGUCAGGGGUUCCCGGGGGCCAGAAGGUCCGCGCCGGCGCGUUAAUACACUUCCUGUCAGGAGCAGCAGGAGACCCUGCGGGAUCUGGAGCGCCGGAUGGGACGCCGAGUGGCGCGGGAGAGAGGACCUCCGACAACAAGCAGACGAGAGAGAGCGGACGCUGCACGCGCAGCUGGAGGUGUGUGAGCCGGGGAUGAUGGGAAAUCUGCGUCUGUGCGGAUGACUCGCGUCCGUACUGUGCGUCGUAAUCUGUAGUGCGUACUCCUCACCAACAGGGGUC